rnacentral:rRNA from 1 species
AUUGAACGCUGGCGGCAGGCCUAACACAUGCAAGUCGAACGAGUGGCGGACGGGUGAGUAAUGUCUGGGAAACUGCCUGAUGGAGGGGGAUAACUACUGGAAACGGUAGCUAAUACCGCAUACCAUCGGAUGUGCCCAGAUGGGAUUAGCUAGUAGGUGGGGUAACGGCUCACCUAGGCGACGAUCCCUAGCUGGUCUGAGAGGAUGACCCGCCACCCCUGAACCUAGACCAGGGCCAAACGCCUACGGGAGGCAGCAGUGGGGAAUAUUUCCACAUGGGCGGAAGCCUGAUGCAGCCAUGCCGCGUGUAUGAAGAAGGCCUUCGGGUUGUAAAGUACUUUCAGCGGGGAGGCGUUACCCGCAGAAGAAGCACCGGCUAACUCCGUGCCAGCAGCCGCGGUAAUAC